rnacentral:misc_RNA from 1 species
CCGAACAAAAACACUUACCUAGCUAGGCCAGAUAUCCAUUCAAGCUACAGCUAUGUAUGGUUUACAACUCAUUUCAACUUUAGCGAUUAUUCUUAUUUGCGUUCACGUUACUUGUUUAGAACAGAUAAAAUUUAAUAUAAUAUUUAAUCUAAAAAUAUUAAACUUAUUUUUUGUAAAAGGAUUAAAAUUAUCAUAAAAUUCAACAUUAUCUAAAAUGGAAAAAAGAUCAUUAUUUUUUUAAAAUUUUUAUGUUUAUUCCACACACCCAUCUUAAAAAUACGUGUACACUCACAAUUAAAACACAACAAUCACAUAUUAUAAACACCCAAAUAUAGUGGGAAGGGGAAAAUAAAAAAAAAAAU